UAUUUUAAUAGAACUUAUAUAAAACAAUAAAAAUAUGUUAGUGGCUAUGCUUAUGGGAUAGAGUAACAUUGCCAUGAUCUGAAGGGGGAGGAUUUGUUUGUGUCCUCCUUCUACAUGAAAUGGCUAAACAGAAAAAA
rfam:Myotis davidii contig62713, whole genome shotgun sequence.